CCUACGGGAGGCAGCAGUGGGGAAUAUUGGUCAAUGGAGGAAACUCUGACCCAGCAACGCCGCGUGAAUGAUGAAGGUCUUCGGAGUGGAAAGUUCUUUUCUAAGGGAAGAAAAGAGUGACGGUACCUUAGGAAUAAGCCUCGGCUAACUACGUGCCAGCAGCCGCGGUAAUACGUAGUAGGCGAGCGUUAUCCGGAAUGACUGGGCGUCAAGGGUGCGUAGGUGGUUUGGAAAGUUAGUAGCGUAACUCAAAGGCUCAACCGUGGAACUACUACUAAAACUGUUGGACUUGAGUGCAGGAGAGGCAACCGGAAUUCCUAGUGUAGCGGUGGAAUGCGUAGAUAUUAGGAGGAACACCAGUGGCGAAGGCGGGUUGCUAGACUGUAACUGACACUGAGGCACGAAAGCGUGGGGAUCAAACAGGAUUAGAUACCCUUGUAGUC
rnacentral:rRNA from 1 species